CAUAUUCCUCGUUAGAAUGAGGCGUUUGCACAAACACAGGCUACUACCCAGAAACGUCGAAAGACGCCAAUGCGGUUAACAGGUUUUGCCGGAUUAAGGCUUAACCCAAUGUAGCUGGUUCAAUCCUACGUUGUGCACUGCCGAAACUCAACCAGAGGGGAAGUGG
rnacentral:sRNA from 2 species